rnacentral:rRNA from 1 species
AUUGAACGCUGGCGGCAUGCCUUACACAUGCAAGUCGAACGGCAGCACGGGGCAACCUGGUGGCGAGUGGCGAACGGGUGAGUAAUGCAUCGGAACGUACCUUUCAGUGGGGGAUAACGUAGCGAAAGUUACGCUAAUACCGCAUAUUCUGUGAGCAGGAAAGCAGGGGAUCGCAAGACCUUGCGCUGAUUGAGCGGCCGAUGUCAGAUUAGCUAGUUGGUGAGGUGAAGGCUCACCAAGGCGCAACAAAAAAAACACGAUCAGAGGCGGAUCUGUUGUUUGUUGGUUCCACACUGGAACUGAGACACGGUCCAGACUCCUACGGGAGGCAGCAGUGGGGAAUUUUGGACAAUGGGGGCAACCCUGAUCCAGCCAUGCCGCGUGAGUGAAGAAGGCCUUCGGGUUGUAAAGCUCUUUCGGCCGGGAAGAAAUCGCGCGGGCUAAUACCCUGUGUGGAUGACGGUACCGGAAUAAGAAGCACCGGCUAACUACGUGCCAGCCGCCGCAGUAACAC